ACUUACACAUGGAUACACACACUUGCAUGGACACAAGAAAAAUUUCUUUUCUCCUGUCAGCAUUCCUACCCAACAAUAGUUAGAUUAGUGGAAAUGAGGGCCUCCGCAGAGAAAGGACAUUCAGCCACAGAAGGCUCCCUGCAGGAACAGCUGGUAGGGGUUAAUGGCUGCUGAACCUCACAGCCAGGGCCUAUUCUCUAUUGUGUGUUCAACUCCUGGGAAGGAGGGAGACUUGUGACAGCUUCUGGGGUGCAUGGGAUCAGAGUGAGUUUGUUUGAAGAAAAAAAAAGAGAGAGCAAGAGAAAAACACCGUUCCACUGAAAUCCUCACCUGCAGCAGAAGCAUGAAAGAUAUUGUCAGUGAGCUCCCAGUUUGGCACUAACAUCUCUUGAGGUGGGACUGUGAGCGUCCAUUUUCAUCGCUGCAUAUGCCAGCUCCUCUGCUGUAUGGAUUCCUCAACAUCUAAUUCAAGAAGGCACUGCAUAAAAACACUAGGGGAUGGAUGCAAACAAUGUGCUGGUGAGAGUGACAAUAAAAUAGAGAUGACAGCAUAAAGAGAGAAUGAUGAAUGUAUUAACACAGCUGGUGAUUUCUCUAAGCAGCUCAGAACUGCUGUCAGAAUUGUUGAAACCUGCCAGAAUUUUUUUCUUCUUUUCUUCCCAACCACCUCCAGAGAUGGGGAAUUCUCCUCCUCUACUGCAUUCUGCUUUGAUGUACCUGUCUUUAAUUACCCCAUUUUGUAUUAGUUUAGACUUAAAGGUCCAAUUUCUCUUAUCUAUCAAAGAUGAGAAAAGCAGGGGAAUUGAGGCUGUUAUUAUAAGAAAAACUGGCAUUAACAUAAUAGACAGAUUUCUUGAAAAUGUUAGUCUUAAACAGUUGAAAGAAAGAUAUUAGUCUAUAAAAGAAAGCUACAAACCCAAUCAUUUUUUAAGUCUUGAUUUUAAUUUCAAAAUAUUCAUAACAGUAAAUCUAUUAAAGUUACAUAUUUUUGGCUAAUGGCUACUUGUGUGGGAUUAGUCUCUAAAACUGUUGUUUCUCAAUAGUUGAACCAGCAAAGAUGAAAAACCAAUCGGCUUUAGUAGGCUUUAUAUUAGGUCCUUAGGUGUAAAUAGUUCAACAUAAUUUUAUUUUAUUGCUUGUUAGCACUCUCAUGCUUUCCUGCCUUACGUCCGCUCAAUGAGUGGUUCUUUUAAAAACCUUUCCCUUUAUGUCAUUAUUUUCCAUAAAGAAAUAUUAGAGAUGUAGAGAUCCCUGAUUGCCUUUUUCAAAAUGCGUGUCAUGUACUUGGGGCAUUUGUUUGAUAUUGAAUGGAACACAGCAGCACUACCUAGAAAUUGAGGAGAAGAACUGAAAGAUACCAAUUUCUUCUGAUGCUAUAAGUAGCUUUUAGACUACUCAAAGAGGAAGAAAAAAAUUACCAAACUGAACCCCACAGCACAUGCCCACACACAGAUUAGGCAAAAUUUGCUGUGACAGUUUCAGUAUUGCCAAAUGUUGUUCAGGUUUGCAGACUUAUGGUUUAUAUUUUCCUUCACACAAAACAUUUUUAAUGUUAUGGGUCAGAAUUUCACCAUUCAGUGGCAUCUUUUUGUCAGCAGUGAUUCAAUAGACAAACAAGGCUUAAUAAGCUGCCAGCGAGGGAUAUCACAUUUACACAAAAUCACAAUUGAAAGCAUCACUCUGAGACAGAUUAAAACCUGUAAGGCUAAGCAUAAGAAAAAGGAUGCUGAAAACCUCCAGAAUUUGUGUAUUACAGUAUGAAUGGAAGUUUCAGAAGACUAUUCAGAAAGGAUUACUCUAGAAAAGAAAAUGUUUGUCUUGGAGACUUUUUUAUUGACCUGUGAUAUGCUUUUGGUUUGAAAGACAUGUUAAACAAAGAGAACUCCAGUCUUUCAAAACUCUCACAGCUCUAUAAAUAACUCCACAUAAAAUGUACAGUAUGUAUAAACAGCAUGACAAAGAUUUUCUGACAGUAUUUUCUCUACAGUAAAAGUAAAGUCAAAACAUCCCAUUGAUGGCAGCUAUUUUGAAGAAUUUCUAAGAAUACGAGUGCUUACGAGCUGGCAAACUCUCAGUGAGUGAGAGUGAGUAUAAACAAUGAACUUUUAUGAGGUUGUAGCCAUUCCAUCAAGAUCCCCAUGCAGCUUGGAUGGACCUUAGCCAAGAAGUGGCUGCUCAGCGUUUAGUAAGCAUCAGCUAAGGGAACCACAGAAAGAACCAAACUGCUCCAGCAGUAAAACUAUCUGCCAGCAACAUUUUUGAGAGUUCACCAUCUGGGUCCUGCAGCCAUCAAUCAGACUCAAUGUGUCACCCCAGCUGUCCUUCAAGGCUCCGCAUAGUCAAGGUAGAGCAGUUGUGAGAAAAUAAAACACAAAAAUUGAGAGAGCACAGCUGUUGAAAGCUUGAGUAAGUGAGCAGGCAAAUCAAAUCCCAAGUAUUGAAUAGCACACAAUUGCUUUUCUAAAUCUAAAGAUUGACUACUUGCAUGUCUGAAAUUACCUGUUUUCUGUACCACAUACUGAUAUUUUAUUUGACUAUUCUGUUUUAGUAGAUUUGGGGUUGUUUCAUAAAUGCAUCCAUAAGUCUCUUUUACUUUUGUGGGUAAUCAAUCCACAAUCCCCAGAUCUACAAGUUUAUUUUUUACAGGUUAACAUGUAAGGGCUCUACCCAUUGGCUCUUACUGUGAUCUGUACUUGUUAAAAUUAGACACUAAUAUUGGACAUUUUGACUGGAGACAAACUCUGAAAAACUCUGCCAUUGUGAAUCUCCCACCUGACUAAGAAUUAGGGCCUUUAAAAUACGUGUGCAUGAUUGGAAAGAUUCCCUAGGAAGUGGAGUAAGUUAAGUAGCAGCUUGUACAGGAACUGAAACUGGAAAGUAGAGAUGUAGGAAUUUCAGAAGAAACACUAGAACAGGGACCUCAUGGUAUUAUGUACUCUAACUCUGGUAUGCAAGACUGUGCCUUUUUUGUGCCGUCAUUCCACAUAUUGCAAAACAAACUCAGGAGUGCUCAGAUGCUUCAGAAGAUCUAGACUGAGGAGAAGAAUGAGAAAUGGCAAAAGAGAAAUGCAGAAGAGGAGGAUGAAGAAGAGCCCAGUGACCUGUUGUUACCGGCAGAUGUCUCCUAGCCUGUCAUAGGAUUUCCAUUGCAAACUUUCACAAAACCUUCGGAGGCCUGGGCACAGGAGGACAUUGGCUCAUAUCUCGUGCCAAAUGAGAUUCUUAUAGGUGAGGUUUCCUAGCAUUCAUCUGAGUUUUCAAGGGGGAGCUAACAAGAACACAGGAAGUUAUGGUUUUAAAGACGAUUUUGGUAGAAUACGGUAAACCAACAAAAGUGCAUAUGGUUAAAAAAAAAAAAUUACCAGACCUUUGUUUAAAAUGCACUUCCAAAAGCCUCAUCAUCAUUAAAACUCAUCAGAAAAAGGAUGUAUUGCAAAAACACACAUGACAUUUCAAGCGGAUUGACUACUUUCAUGAAGCUGUGAUUUAAUCUAUCAUCAUUGUUAACGGGUGUCUCACCUAGGUGCUUACUGGAGAGAAGAGGGAUUCAAUAUCAUUUAAAAGAUGAACAGCAAUAACUUUUAGAACAGCAAUAACUUUUGCACACACAUCAUUUAGCAUCAGCCAAGAGAGUUUGUAAUGUCCUUCCUACAUCUGUGUAGUUUUUAGAAUAAAAGUGGAAAAUGCUUUUGGCAAAAACAAGCAAUAAAAAACCUCCCUUGCCAUAUACCAAAUAAACAGAAAAGGCCUUUACAUGAGGACGCAUACCUACUACUGUUUUUCAACCAAGUAGCAUAGCUUUUGCCCACUACAAAGCUUUCAUGACUUGUGUUUUGAUAUCACAAAUAUUGACAUCCUGAUCAAAGUAAUUGGACUGUAUUCUGCCCGGUUGUGGCUGUUAUCAGAGAGCAAAGCCUACUCUUCAUUGAUUCCUGCUGAUUUCAUGCCAAUAUAAAGGCACGACAGAAAUAAUGACAAUGCAGCGUAUUUUUAUUUUGAAAAGAACAAUCUGUCCACUCUUGUUCCCUUUGGGCUGAAAUAGCAACCAGCACAUCCAAAUAGAGAGGAGAAGAUGGCACCAAAUGAGUUUACGUGUUAAAUGGCAUUUUAUUUUGUCAGAUUCCUCCAUAAGUCAUUAACUAUUGUAUUCUCUCUCACAGUUAAUAGCCUGGUCCCUGCAAAGAAAUUAUAUACCUAUUCAGUGAAGGAAAAUGAAGGCUGGGUUAUACAUAUAUUCAAAAAUUGCAUGAAAUAUUUAUUUUCCAUAUUUUAUAUAAAACAGAGAGACCACUGUGGGUAUUUUUCAUGCACAUGAAUGCAGAAGCUGGAAGAAUUGCUGUAUCUAAAUCCCAAAUCAGACCUAAUUCUUUCAAAUACUACUCUUCCCUUUUAAUUCUUUAAAAUACUACUCUUUCCUUUUAAUUUAAUUAAAUACAAGCUUUAUCACUCCCCUAUGAAUCAAGAUAAUUAAAGAAAGACCCAUAUUUGUCAGUGAAUCUCAGAAAUGUUCUAAUGAGUGAAUAAGAAUCAUUUGUAAUUAACAUGCUAAUUGCUUGUAUGCAAAUGGCCUGUUGUUCAAGUGGUUUAAAAAGUGCUUGAAAACAGUUUGUUUGCCUUCCCUCUUAAGCAGACUAAACAUUCCCACUUGCAGUCUUAUUUACAUUAUUAAUUUGCUUAGCAAAUAUUUUUUUAAUAGCUAGUGCCAAUAGAAGGAGUGGAGAGCCUUGUUUGGAGAGCUCUUGUGAAGAGUGCUAUUUUCUCCAGUUCAAGCAGAUGAGCAGACUGAAAUGUGAGGUUUUCAGGCACAUAAUAGACCCUUGGCUUAUCAAAGCCUCUUAUCUGAUUGAAAAAAAAAAAAUCAAAGGUAAACUUCACAGCUCAUGGAAUUAAAAGACAAAUGAGAUGUCAUAAUUAUCAAAGUGGCUAAUUUAGAAAAUUAAGCCAUUCACAUAGGUGACAUAAUUGCUUGUCACAAUCACUCUUUUUCUCAUUAGCCCUCUCUUCAGUACCUACCAUACAGUGGAACAUUCUUUAGUCUUGGAAAAUAUUGCCUAUACUGUAAUCCCUUAAUAGCAUAGCCCCUGAAAUUAGUGCAAAAAUAUACUUAAUAGCUUCAUUGAUGUGAUAUAUUUGUAUGAUUCUCUGUUUGAUCGCAUCUCACAUUGUAAAAUCUAGUAUUUUGAAUUUUCAGUAUUUUAUUGGGUUUUUCUCUAUCUUCUUUUAAAAUUAAGCAAUUUAAAAUUAAUCAUCUAAUUAUGAUGGAGGACUUAAUACGCCAACAUGCCAUAUGCAAAUUCUUUUGACAGGACUACAUUUCCAUCUCAUAAGGCAGCUUUAACAUAUAGGUAUUAUGAGGUAUUUAACCAUUGUGGCUAGAAGAUUAAAUUGUCCUAAAUUGUGGAUGUAUAGGAAAAAUACUUUAUUCUCUAUAGAUUAAUGCAUCUUUCUAAUAUUUUAUGUUGCUUUCAGUCAGUUUAAAAUAAUACCCAAAAUAAUAUUCUUUAUAAGAAAGUAAUUUUCAGGAAGUAGGUGCACUUCCCUGACAAUCAUAUUGUUUAUGAGUCAGCAAGUACAGAAAUUAUUAAUGACAAUUUCUAAGAAAGGAAAUGAGUCUGGUUUGCUAUGCGAGUUUCAAGGCAUGACAUUGUAAAUGGGCAAGGUUAAACAUUUUGGAUUAAAAACAUGACUGUGAGAUUGAUUAGGGUCCUACAGUCUUGUAAAGUUGGUAGAACAUAGCUGACAUGACUUAUAGUUUGCUGAAUUCAGAGAGAUUACAUUGAUGUCAUUCAUUUGAAGAGAUAGUUCAUCCUGGAUGCAUACAGUGAAGCUGUCAUCUGUGCGUUUCACAAAUAUUCAUGUGACUAACAUGUUUUGAUUAGACUAACACUGAACCACACCAUUGAAUGGGUCAUGUGUCUGAAG